AUUUGUUUACCACUUAGAACACAGGAUGUCAGCGCCAUCUUGUGACGGCGAAUGUGGGGGCGGCUCCCAACAGUCACCCAUCCAUUAGUGGCUCAUGUGUUCUUAAGACAAACUCAGCAGGCUGUACCUGUCCAGAGUGAAACCAGAGCUUCUGCCUGCAUGGAACAAGAGCAAGAGAAAGGCCGAGGAGACUGACCUGCUUAUCCAUGCUACUUAUCAGGAACUGUGGAACCAUGGAGAACAUGACCCUGGCCCUCCCUUCAGGAUCUGCCUGAGAUCUGGCUGCCUCUUGAGACACUAGAGCCCUGGAUUCAAUUGCGGAACAUUAUGUUGGAGAAUAUAAACACUUCUAGACUGUGCCGGCAUUUGGGAAGGAAUAGUCUGUUUUGACUUGAAUGAACAAAGACAUACGUCUCUGGGCCUGGGGAAGGCUUACCAGCUCAGCUCAUCUACUGUCUGGUGGCAAACAUGUCCUGGGUACUGCCACUACCCAGGACACUCUUCCUCACUCUGUCCCUGUCCAGUUACCGCACCCUUCCCUGUCUGACCCCGCCUCCUGUGCCCACUCGCCUCUGGACCCAGAGAUUCUUCUUGUUUGCUCUAUCAUCCUUGAGCCGGAUACAGGGUGAAUAGUUAACCACACUUGGGUUGAAUGGGAUCUUGAUUCUUAUUUCUGUUCCUUGGAAAGAGGGGUCAGACUCGGUGCGUGGCACCCGGCCUGGAAGCAGCACAAGACUCCAGAGUGAUACAUGAUCUGCCUGGAUGGUCCCAGGGGCUCUUUGGAGGUCAGAGCAAGAGGAGCAGCCUGAGCAGGGGGGCUGAGGAGGGCCGGCACUGGAUCACACGCAGGCGUAUGUCUGGAUAGGCAGAGAGGAACCCACUUUUCAUUCCCUCUUCUGUGACACAAAUGCAAGGAACUUUGAAGACACUCUUCGGAGGUUGCAAUCGGAGAUCAGCUUAUCCAAGGGCUUCAUGUCUGAGCUCUGUUGGUCGUGCCUCCUGAGGACCUCUUUCCUCUACUGUAUGCUGAUGACACACCCAUCCGAUGGGAGCUGGAGCCUUGUCUGGUCCUUUCCUCUAUGACCCCACGUGUACAGUUGGAAAUCCUUCCUAAUCAUGCCUUGAUUCCCCCUUUUCGACUACACUCAAAGAUGUUUGAGCUGUUUUAUUUGCAAAAUGGAUGGACAGUUUGUUUAUAUAAAACAAUCCCAGCUUCCUUGUGCUCUAUCUGGUGUGUUUGUAUGGCUCUUCAGUGACUUUAAAGUGGAGCAUUGACCUUGGCCUCUUUGAUUCUCCAUGGUGGAAUAGAGAAGACCUCUUGAGGAUGCUUAAUGUUGCUGAGAUCUUAAGAAGGCUUGCAGACUUCCUCUUCCUCCCUCCUUCUCCCACCUCCUCCUUCCCUAAGCAGCCUCUGCAUUGUAUAAAUUCCUUUAUAUAAAUUCCUCUGUAAAUGUU
rnacentral:lncRNA from 1 species